GAAGGGCCGAGCGUUAAUCGGAAUCACUGGGCGUUAAAGGGUGCGUAGGCGGGUGCGCAGGCAUCUUGUGAAAUCCCUCGGGCUCAACCGAGGAACUGCAGGGUGAACCGCGUGUCUUGAGACAAGUAGGGGCUGUCGGAACGCUAGGUGGAGUGGUGAAAUGCGUUGAUAUCUAGCGGAACGCCAAAGGAGAAAUCAGGCAGCUGGGCUUGUUCUGACGCUGAGGCACGAAAGCGUGGGGAGCGAACGGGAUUAGAUACCCCGGUAGUCCACGCCGUAAACGAUGUGCACUAGGUCGAGGAGGUUCUGACACCGUUCUCGGCCGAAGCGAAAGUGUUAAGUGCACCGCCUGGGGAGUACGGUCGCAAGGCUA
rnacentral:rRNA from 1 species